CAAAUGAAAGGUCAAUGAUGGUCCCUGAAAUAUGCACCUCGGGAAAAGUUCAUCCCGGAAAUUUAAUCAGUGGACAAAUUGGUCCGGACGUUGCAAACGUUUGGACGAAUUGGUCCUUCCAUUAGAAAAAACGCAGGUCCCUGAUGGAACCCUAGACGCCGUGAUGAACUCUGUUUGCCCCCCUGCUCAACUCGAUUUCCCGGUCGAAAUUGCCCCAAAUCGAUGAAACCCUAAUUGAGGUGCCUUCUCUUCCGAUUCAGUCGUCAAAUUCCCCCACCCACAUCAAGAUUUAUGCAAUUGAAUGUGUUGUCCGUGAUCCGAAGGAGCUAUUUGCAGAAGUGGGCGACAUCAAGCGUUAUUCGAUCCACUAUGAUAGGAGCGAGAGAUCAAAGGGAACAGCAGAAGUAGUCUUCUCACAGCGGGUUGAUGCAAUAGCAGCUGUAAAGAGAUACAACAAUGUUCAGCUCGAUGGGAAGCCAAUGAAGAUAGAGAUUGUUGGAACAGCGCAUUUGCAGCUUCAAAUGGAAUUCUAAUAGGAAUUAUGGGAGGUGAGGGAAGCCAAUGGAGUGGGACAAAGCAAUAUAUCCAAAAGUGUACAGCUUCUUCACGGGUUGAGGAAUCAAUCAAUUUGUGUGGUUGUGGAAGGAAGCUCCCGUUGCAAACAUCUACCAGGAAACAAAGUUAUGGUAGGCGUUUCCUUGGUUGUCCAUUAUGAAAAAGAAGUGACAUUACCCGUGGAUACUUUGAAUGGAUUGAUAAUGAGGAGCAGCUUGAAGUGCAACAGACUGCAAGACCCCGAACUGGAGAAGAUAACAAGCUCAUGAAGAAGAUGAAGAAGAAAAUUCAAUUGUAUAAAUAUGAAAACAGAAUGCUAAAGAUUGCAUGUGGCAUUUUGUUUUUCAUCCUUGUUGUAUUCUUAGUUUGUGUUUGUGAUAGGAUAUUGCAACGUGUUUUUUCGUUGAAUGUGACACUGUAGGAUUGUGAGAUUCUAAUUUGUAUUGAGAUGACUUUGUUAUUGCUAAUAUAAUACAA